rnacentral:rRNA from 1 species
CACGUAGGGCGCAAGCGUUGUCCGGAAUUAUUGGGCGUAAAGAGCUCGUAGGCGGCUUGUUGCGUCGACCGUGAAAACCCGUGGCUUAACUGCGGGCUUGCGGUCGAUACGGGCGGGCUGGAGUUCGGUAGGGGAGACUGGAAUUCCUGGUGUAGCGGUGAAAUGCGCAGAUAUCAGGAGGAACACCGGUGGCGAAGGCGGGUCUCUGGGCCGAUACUGACGCUGAGGAGCGAAAGCGUGGGGAGCGAACAGG